rnacentral:rRNA from 1 species
UACGAAGGGUGCAAGCGUUAAUCGGAAUUACUGGGCGUAAAGCGUGCGUAGGCGGUUAUUUAAGUCUGUUGUGAAAUCCCCGGGCUCAACCUGGGAAUGGCAAUGGAUACUGGAUAGCUAGAGUGUGAUAGAGGACGGUGGAAUUCCCGGUGUAGCGGUGAAAUGCGUAGAGAUCGGGAGGAACAUCAGUGGCGAAGGCGGCCAUCUGGAUCAACACUGACGCUGAGGCACGAAAGCGUGGGGAGCAAACAGG